rnacentral:rRNA from 1 species
AUUGAACGCUGGCGGCAGGCCUAACACAUGCAAGUCGAACGAGUGGCGGACGGGUGAGUAAUGUAUGGGGAUCUGCCUGAUAGAGGGGGAUAACUACUGGAAACGGUAGCUAAUACCGCAUACCAUCCGAUGUACCCAGAUGGGAUUAGCUUGUAGGUGGGGUAAAGGCUCACCAAUGCGACGAUCCCUAGCUGGUCUGAGAGGAUGAUCAGCCACACUGGGACUGAGACACGGUCCAGAUUCCUACGGGAGGCAGCAGUGGGGAAUAUUGCACAAUGGGCGCAAGCCUGAUGCAGCCAUGCCGCGUGUAUGAAGAAGGCCGUAGGGUUGUAAAGUACUUUCAGUCGGGAGGCGUUACCGGCAGAAGAAGCACCGGCUAACUCCGUGCCAGCAGCCGCGGUAAUUC